AACGCUGGCGGCGUGCCUAAUACAUGCAAGUCGAGCGGACCGACGGGAGCUUGCUCCCUUAGGUCAGCGGCGGACGGGUGAGUAACACGUGGGUAACCUGCCUGUAAGACUGGGAUAACUCCGGGAAACCGGGGCUAAUACCGGGUGCUUGAUUGAACCGCAUGGUUCAAUCAUAAAAGGUGGCUUUUAGCUACCACUUGCAGAUGGACCCGCGGCGCAUUAGCUAGUUGGUGAGGUAACGGCUCACCAAGGCGACGAUGCGUAGCCGACCUGAGAGGGUGAUCGGCCACACUGGGACUGAGACACGGCCCAGACUCCUACGGGAGGCAGCAGUAGGGAAUCUUCCGCAAUGGACGAAAGUCUGACGGAGCAACGCCCGCGUGAGUGAUGAAGGUUUUCGGAUCGUAAAACUCUGUUGUUAGGGAAGAACAAGUACCGUUCGAAUAGGGCGGCACCUUGACGGUACCUAACCAGGAAGCCACGGCUAACUACGUGCCAGCCGCUGC
rnacentral:rRNA from 1 species